AUUGAACGCUGGCGGCAUGCUUUACACACGCAAGUCGAACGGCAGCGGGGUAGUGCUUGCACUACUGCCGGCGAGUGGCGAACGGGUGAGUAAUAUAUCGGAACGUACCGAGUAAUGGGGGAUAACCAAUCGAAAGAUUGGCUAAUACCGCAUACGUCCUGAGGGAGAAAGCGGGGGAUCGCAAGACCUCGCGUUAUUCGAGCGGCCGAUAACUGAUUAGCUAGUUGGUGGGGUAAAGGCCUACCAAGGCGACGAUCAGUAGCGGGUCUGAGAGGACGAUCCGCCACACUGGGACUGAGACACGGCCCAGACUCCUACGGGAGGCAGCAGUGGGGAAUUUUGGACAAUGGGGGCAACCCUGAUCCAGCCAUGCCGCGUGUAUGAAGAAGGCCUUCGGGUUGUAAAGUACUUUUGUUAGGGAAGAAAAGGGAAGUGCUAAUACCACUUUUUGCUGACGGUACCUAAAGAAUAAGCACCGGCUAACUACGUG
rnacentral:rRNA from 1 species